AGCUCAUCCAGUGGCGACCUUGUCUCUCAGCCACACGCGACGUCCACAAAAACAUCUCUGGUUUCCCGGCAGGAAAAAGAGUGGGAAGUAACAACGGCCUGAUUUGGCGCAUGAUAAUCAGCCGUGUUAAGAGCAAGAUUGCCCUGCACAGGCCCAGGACACCCUGGGGGGUAACGGAUAGGGGGUGGAAGGUGCCAGAGGCUCGGAGCUCACUCACAGUGAGUGUGCGGACCAUUCCUGGAGUCGGGCUCAGUCAGGGCUCGCCAGAACCUGGAAUCAUCUCCCUCCUGUCUGCUUUGACUCCAUUUUCAGGUCUGCUUUGACUCCUGUUCCCCUCCUUCACCUUUGUGGAGCUAUGGGCUCCUCACAGAGCAAAAAGAAAUGGGACUGCACCCGCUACUUGAAUGGGAAUGCUCCAGUGGGCUCGCAAGCGAACGGGACGAGCCACGCACCGUGGCCCGUAUGUCCCACCUGCGGCCAGACGACGGCGGGGGCUCCAGUCAAUGGCAACAAUGGGACGGCUCCAUCCUCGGGGAAGGAGACCAACCUGUAGAGCCAAUUGGGUGGGCUUGGUGAUGCGAGAUGCAAAUCACAUCCCUUGGUGUUGGGGAAGUGAAUCUCAGGUCACCGUGGAAACGGAGCACCACACUCCUCCCUGCUGUGGGUAGAACCCUGCUAGCUGAGCCCAUGGAGCUGCCACAGACAGAAUCAGAUCCAGCUGCUUUGGCUAUAGUACCUGGCAUGCAGAGCCCUUGAAAAUAUGCCCCCUACUGGUCAGGUGAGGGAAAGCAUGCACAUGGGCCCUACCUGUUUUCCAGCACUGCUUUGCAUUAUUCCAGUGUUUCCUAUGACUUUACUGCUUUUUUACCUUGUUAUACUCUAUUUCCAACUAAUGGAUCCUAUCACCAAUGUUAUCCCUAUCCUCUACUUUACAUGUCUUGUCUAAAAGUGUGAAUCGUAAAAACAAGAAAUUAUAUAAAAGAUAAAUAAUACAAUACUGUGAAACUAUUAUUAAGCUCCUCCUGUCUGGCUGUAGAUGACUGAUCAAUAAACAUUUGCUUUUCCAAA